AGGCUGACAGAAGAGAGUGAGCACACAUGGUGCCUUUCUUGCAUGAUGAACGAUCGAGAGGUUCAUGCUCGAAGCUAUGCGUGCUCACUUCUCUCUCUGUCAGCCGUUAGAACUCUCUCUCGAUCGCACCCUCCCUCGAUCUCUCUUUCGUUCUCUGUCAAUCUCUCCCAUGGUGAUAUUUAUUUGCUUGUCUGCGUGUUCUCUUUCCUAAGCACAGACACGACCAGUUCACGGUGCCUUAGGUGUUUUUUUGCACUUUGCCUGAAGAGAGGAAGGCAAGGGGGAGAUGGGUUUUUGAAGGUUUGACAGAAGAGAGUGAGCACACACGGUGGUUUCUUANCAUGAGUGCCAUGCUGGGAGCUGUGCGUGCUCACUCUCUAUCUGUCAGCCACUCAUCAGGCCCAUCUCUCUGGUNUCCGCGGCUAUAUGUUCGAGCCCUUGAAGUNUCUUGGACACAGAUCGAUCUCUUGUGCAAUUAUAUGAUUAUAGAAGCUAAAUAUGAUUAACAUGUGGAUCUCAAUGUCGGGUAUAUCCUCCUCCUAU
rnacentral:pre_miRNA from 1 species